AUGCAGCAGGACAUCGUGCCGGUUUGAUCUGUGGAAAAGGACAAGCUGCUUUGGUGAGCACACCUCGGACUGGGAGCUGGGCCUACCAGAGCACGUGUCCCAGAGCAGCAUUUUACUGUGCUGCUUGUGCAAAGCAAAGUACAGCACGGGAUGUACCCAACACCACUGGUUUUGGCUGGGAACAGCAGGCAGCCGAAUAAACGGGACAUGUGAGUGGUACUGUUGGUUUGCUGACAGAGCUGAAGUUUAACUGCAGUUUCUGUAUGACAGGAUUCUAAGCCAAUUUAGGAAUAUUUUGGACAGAGGCUUUUGGGCAGGUGAGGAAGCAAUGACUACCAAAGCUGGGCAAGACCAGGUCUAGAAGUAUUGAAAGCAGAAUUCAAGGAAAAAGACCCAAUCACAGAAUGGUUUGGGUUGGAAAGGACCUUAACAUCAUCUAGUUCCAACCCCCUGCCAUAGGCAGGGACACCUCACACUAGACCAUGUUGCCCAAGGCUCUGUCCAGCCUGGCCUUGAACACCGCCAGGGAUCAUAUGAUAUAAUUUUAUCAUAUGAUUUAUAAUUAUAAGCCUGGUACUGUCCUGAAUGAUAAAUGCCUGCUUGAAAAGCUAAGGAACAAAAGGUAAGAGAAAUUCAGAGGGGGCAGGAGGAUGGGGUUCCUUCCCCCUCUCCUCAUGUAUAAACAUGUAGUGAAAGGGAAGUUCAUAUUGAUAAAUUUAAGAAUAUAUAAUUAAAAAAAACCCCAAAACAACAAAAAACAACACAGGCCUUCCCUCCCCAACCAAACACAAACCAAAGUAUUUAUUCUAUUUAUAUUUUGUUACAUAUAUAUAUAUAUUUCUCCUCAGGUAAGAGCUUGAUUGCUCACUGAAGUAGUUUAUGGAAUCUACUUUCUUGUUGGCAGAAAAUAAGAGUUUUAUUUCGCAACCUCACAUGAAUUUAGGAGAGCAUUUAUGAAUGUGCAACACUUUUCUCCACUAAGAACUGGUAGGGGAAGUGCCUAACAAAUUAAAUCGUAUUUUAUCAACAAUCUGCAUAAGGGGGAAUUUACUACAAUUUUUUUCACUGUUCCUUAACUAACACUUUUGCAUGAGGCAGUAAUCAUUUGUGUCGAUCUCCCUGCUUCCAUCACAAGUUCUUCCCUACAGUUACAGACAAAAGUCCACUGCAAGUUCACAGGGCAGGCUGGUCAUCUGCUCACUACAACAAUUACACUGGUCGGAACGUCAUUCUUCAAGCAGAAUUUAUGCAAAGCAUCUUCUCAGAGCUGGGGUCUACAGUUUUUAGGACCAGAGGUCCUGAAAAACGGGCACUUCCAGCAUUUUGUGAGAUGCUUUAUUCA
rnacentral:lncRNA from 1 species